UUCUGUUGUUGUGCUACUUCCUCCGACCGAAGAGGAGACGCGCGCCUUCUGAACCAGUGGUAUGAAGCCACAGCGCCACCCGCAGGACAGACCGACGCACUGCAGGCCUGUUUGGAAACCGGUUUCCUCAAAACGACUGUUGAGAGUUUUCCAUCAUGUGGACUUGACAGCGGAGAAUCGUCUGUUGCAACACGGAUUUCCGUAAAUCCACACGUAAUUGGGAAUGAUUAGAGAGGCAGCCCAAAAUGGGUCAGGUGACUUCAGCGGAGAUUAAGGUGACCUCUAAUUCUGAAUUUGAAAGCGCAUGAUUUGUGGGAUUGGCACCCAAAAAAGGAAUGAGCCCUCAUGAUCCAGAUAUGAUCCUGUUGUGUUGCAGGGAGCUUUAAACAGUCUGACAGCUCAUUAAGUUGCACCAAAUUUAGACCCUUUUAAUUGUUGUUUGUUCUACUGUGGCCAAAUUGCAAGAUGCAAAAGAAACUAAUCGUUUCAUGUAAUAAUGUGGUGCAAUCAUAAGUAUAAAGAUUCUUUAUUAAAAUAAAUGUAUUAACAGCGAAAUGCCAAAAAAAUAUAUGUGCAAGUGGAAGAACUGAAGUGUGAUCAGCAAAAUGUCCUUAAAAUAUUAAAAGUACCUGUUGUGGAGAAAGAUUGUUCAUAGGAAUGUUACAUUAUCAUGAAUUAGUGUGUAAGCAGCAUUUACAUAUUAAGGAGCUCUUAUGAACCACUUUUAUUCCUGUUGCAUAAUUGGAUCUAUAACAACCUCAAGAGUUUAUCAUACAUUUUGUCUUUGAUCUACAAAUCUGAUUUACCUGCAAAUGUAGCUGAAAAAUAAAUGUUGUGCUUUGCAAAAUCGUAUAAACCCUGGAUUAAAAGCAUAAAGUCGCAUUAAACAAAUAUAUUCAAGUGGA